UACAGGGGGGGCAAGCGUUGUUCGGAAUUACUGGGCGUAAGGGCUCGUAGGCGGCCAAUUAAGUCCGACGUGAAAUCCCCAGGCUUAACCUGGGAACUGCGUCGGAUACUGAUUGGCUUGAAUCCGGGAGAGGGAUGCGGAAUUCCAGGUGUAGCGGUGAAAUGCGUAGAUAUCUGGAGGAACACCGGUGGCGAAGGCGGCAUCCUGGACCGGCAUUGACGCUGAACAGCGAAAGCCAGGGGAGCAAACGGG
rnacentral:rRNA from 1 species